CGGGUGCGUAUGCGCGCCGGUGAGCAGCCGUUAGAGCGUCGCGCGCCGCAGCUGUUAGGCGCGUACGGCUGAGGUGGAGUUACCGCCGCUGUGGCUGUGAGGAUGGUGGGGGCGGCUCUUCCCGGUACCGGUUUGCCGUCUGGGCAAAAGCGGGAACGUUUUUUGGAACGAGGACUGAAAAAUCAGGCUUCUGAGAGCGUGAGGGGAAUGAACAAGUAACAAAACAGAAAGUGCAGCCCUUUCCUCUGAAACAGUGCAGCGGUGGCCCUGGAAUGGAGAUAGGCGGCAGAACGUAGUUGAUCUUCGUGGAGAUUGCAGAGCAAGCCAGGUUUUGGAGUCUUUAAAUGACAUGUUACAGUGACCAAAGGUGAUGAGGGAAUGCUUUAUCAUUCUGUACUGUCUUUGAAAUGGUGUUGCUGCUCUAGUUUAGGAGGCAAGUUAGACAUUAGGAAAGUAGCAGUGUAUUUUCUUGAAGGUGACUUGGAAGCAGAACCAACAAGUUGAGACUGCUCAAUCUGUGUGUUUCAAAACACACUAAGUGAUAGGACUAAAAGAGUGUGGCACAUCGUGUGAGGCAGUGCUGACAUCAUGAGUAACACAGAAGUGCCUCAUGUCCAGCCUGUGCAGUCAUCAGUGAAAGAAGCGGGCUGCUGCAAAGCCACUGAGUGGAAGGGCGUGGAGAGCAUCUGCACAGGAUAAUGUGGGGCAUUGUCCAACUUCCUACUUCUUCAUGUUCAAGCAAAAUUGUAUAAAGCUGGAAGUUUGGUGUCUGGAAGCUGGAAGCCCCACUUUUGGUGCAGUUAAAAUGUAGGAAUAUGAGCAGCUUGGAAAUACUUGUGGGCAUCAGAUACAGCUGUGCCUCCUUCACAUUACCCUGGCCUGGGACAUCUUGAUACAAAAUCAGAUUACUGCCUGUGUAUCUGUAUAAUAUUAAAAGGAAAAGAACUGCACCAAACACACACCGAGUGAUGAGGCAACCUGACCAGUACUCUGUUCUUUCGCAAGUUGAGCUAGGAAGCCUGGAGAAGAUUAGAGAGUAAAUUAUGUGCUUGUUUCUAUUUCCUGUUGGGAGUGCCUCUCUGUUGACUGGUCACCAAAAACCUGUAUCAAAUCAGAAAGCAGAUAAGCACACUGAAAAGACACGUUGUGAAGAGGCAGCUCUGAAGACCUUCAAGGGAGGUGCCCUGAGGAGAAUCCCGUACUGUGGACAGAGCACACGUGUUUUAGGUGCUGUCUUUGGUCUCUGCAUUUUAGAGAAGGUUAACUGCAUCACAACAGCGCUUCUGACCAUGUCUGACAUCCAGGGUUGCAUAUUCACUUAAGAAACAUCCUCUGCCUGUUUAUGCUGUGGAAUUUCCCAACCACUUUGUUAUGACUUUGUUGUGAACUCAUCCAUAAAACACUUGGAAGCACGUGCAUAAUAAAUACUUGACUAUUUCUACUGAAUGCAGUAAUGGACAAUUACAUGUUUUUGUAGGACAGAAGACUUUAUUAGGGAGCAGCUUGUAGUUAAAAGACUACUUACUUGAAAUCUACCUUGAAAAGCAACUUAAGCCAGUCUUUGAUGCAGUGAAGCAUGAGUCCCGCCUCAGCUGCAAUUGAAGCAAGAAAAAAAAAUCAAUAAACCAUUUUUAAGAGACAAUUUGUAAUUCACUGGUCCUGCUGUUGUUUUACUUUUCUAUGUGCAAACCCAUGCAGUGUAGCUGGUGAAUACAGCUAAUAAACAAC
rnacentral:lncRNA from 1 species